AUUGAACGCUGGCGGCAUGCCUUACACAUGCAAGUCGAACGGCAGCACGGGAGCAAUCCUGGUGGCGAGUGGCGAACGGGUGAGUAAUAUAUCGGAACGUGCCCAGUCGUGGGGGAUAACGUAGCGAAAGCUACGCUAAUACCGCAUACGAUCUAUGGAUGAAAGCGGGGGGAUCGCAAGACCUCGCGCGAUUGGAGCGGCCGAUAUCAGAUUAGGUAGUUGGUGAGGUAAAGGCUCACCAAGCCGACGAUCUGUAGCUGGUCUGAGAGGACGACCAGCCACACUGGGACUGAGACACGGCCCAGACUCCUACGGGAGGCAGCAGUGGGGGAAUCUUGGACAAUGGGCGCGAGCCUGAUCCAGCAAUGCCGCGUGCAGGAUGAAGGCCUCGGUUGUAA
rnacentral:rRNA from 1 species